rnacentral:rRNA from 1 species
GGGCCCGCACAAGCGGUGGAUUAUGUGGAUUAAUUCGAUGCAACGCGAAAAACCUUACCUGGCCUUGACAUGUACCGAAUUUAGCAGAGAUGCUUUAGUGCUCGUAAGAGAACGGUAACACAGGUGCUGCAUGGCUGUCGUCAGCUCGUGUCGUGAGAUGUUGGGUUAAGUCCCGCAACGAGCGCAACCCUUGCCAUUAAUUGCCAUCAUUUAGUUGGGCACUUUAAUGGGACUGCCGGUGACAAACCGGAGGAAGGUGGGGAUGACGUCAAGUCCUCAUGGCCCUUAUGGCCAGGGCUUCACACGUACUACAAUGCUACGGACAAAGGGCAGCAAACUCGCGAGAGCUAGCAAAUCCCAAAAAACCGUCCCAGUUCGGAUUGCACUCUGCAACUCGAGUGCAUG